AUUUAAGCAGCAGGUUACUGACGGUUGGAGGAGUGUCCGCUCCUUUAGGCCACAAGGAUUCUAUUAAGUGCCUUAGAAGAGGUCACCUAAUCUACUGAAGGGGCCUGGAAGAUGGAAGGCUCGCCCAAACACGGGCAUCUCCUCUACCCUCCACGUCUCAACAACAGGAUCAAGAUCUAGGAAUAUUAUCUCAGCUGCCUGGGAAAGGUAGGUAAAAGAUUGGGCAGAGGGCAGGCAAUUAUCUCCUUGCUUUGUGUUAGGCAGCAUUUUCACCCAGCUGAUAAAUUACUUCCAGCUGUUGGCACCAAUUUUCUCCUCAUCAUGGCAGGAGCGAGAGACCCUGGUAAAUGCUGAGGAGCAGUGUGAGUCGCUGAUUAAAUCCAAGAUGCAGCUGGAGGCCAGAGUCAAGGAGCCGCCUGGGCGGGUGGAGGAAGAAGAGGAGAUAAAUUCUGAGCCGACUGCCAGGGGGCGGAAACUGGAAGAUGAAUGUUCUGAGUUGAAGAAGGAAAUCAAUGACCUGGAAACAAUCUUGGCGAAGUCAGAGGAGAAAUGUGUAGCAGAGCACUAGGUCAGCAUCCUGCUUGUCUAAAUGAGGAAGUCAGCAAACUUCUCAGAGCAGUGCAGGUCAUGCGAGAGGCUCAGCAGCAGAUGCAGCAGCAGACCUGGGAGCACCUGCAUGCAAAGGAGAAGAAACUCAGCAACAUGAGCAAAGCAAGUCUGAAGCUGAUGCCAGCUUCAAGUUGAUGCCGUGAAUAGCAGCGGGCAGACUGGUUGGCGUUCUGUCUUCAUAUGUACACAAUUCACAAUAUUUUUUCUUUUAGUAUGACAUAAUAUGUACACAUCUUUAUGGAAGACAAGUGCAUUAUUGUAAUUCAAUACAUGUGCAUAUUAUGUCAUGGUCAAAUGAAGGUAACAGUGUCCAACUGUUCUUAGCUAUGUAAUUUGUAUGUACUGAGGGUUUUGAGUUUUGCACUUACUGUAAGAAUUCUUACUCUUUGUUUUGGUGCCCAUCAUGCUCCCUUGACCUUUCCCAGUCUACAGCAACUGUUAUUCCACAUCCUUCUUCUAUGAGACUGGCUCACUAGUUCCACAAGUGCUUGAGAACAUGUGCUGUUUGCUUUUCUCAACCAAUAUAAUGAUGUCCAGUUUCAUUCAUCUGGCUAUAUCAGGUUUCAUUCCUUUAAUGGAUAAAUACCAAUCCACCUUUUAUGUAUACUGACCUAUCUUUGUCUUCUUAUCUACUAUAAACAUCUGCACUGGUUACAUAUUUCAGCAAUUGGGAAUAGUGCUGCAGUAACAUAGGAAUAUAACUUUAGGGUUUAAUGACUUUGUGUCCUUUGGAAACACACAUACACACAGUAGUGGAAUUGUUGAUUUUUACAUAUAUA
rnacentral:lncRNA from 1 species